UACGUAGGCAGCAAGCGUUGUUCGGAGUUACUGGGCGUAAAGAGUGUGUAGGCGGUCUACUAAGUCUGGUGUGAAAUCUCCCGGCUCAACUGGGAGGGUGCGCCGGAAACGUGGAAGGCUAGAGUGCGGGAUGGGAGAGUGGAAUUCCUGGUGUAGCGGUGAAAUGCGUAGAUAUCGAGGAGGAACACCGGUGGCGAAGGCGGGUCUCUGGGCCGAAAUGACGCUGAGGAGCGAAAGCGUGGGGAGCAAACAGG
rnacentral:rRNA from 1 species